ACACACACACACACACACACACACACACACACACACACACGGGAAUGCUUAGAGAGACAGCACACCAGAGGAGAUGACAUCAGACAGCAUUGAGAGGGGAGAAGGGAUCAGUGAGAGUGAGGAAUUCAGUCUGGUCAAGCUGCAGCUAAGAUCACCAGCUGCCCCUCAAUGGCUGUUAGCUCUCUCAAAAUCACCAUUCUUAGUGACACAGGAAACAAUAGAACUACCCUACGAAAGACGUCAGUGGAAAUCAGCCUAUACAAGGCAGCCCAGGCGGCUCACACUUGAAACUUGGCACAACGCAGGAAGACUUCUACGAGUUUGAGAUCGUCAGCUCGGGCUACACCGGGUUCCAGGGAUCCGACUCAGGACAUCCGUCUUGGCAGCAAGCACCUUCACCCACUCAGCAAUCCCAUCAGCCCCCCACGACUCCCCAUGUUCCUCCUUUUAAGUUUGUGUUUGUGUUUGCACACAUAUCCAGAUGCCAUAAAUACAUCUUCCUUUGUAACUUG